rnacentral:rRNA from 1 species
CUCGUAGGCGGCUGGUCGCGUCUGUCGUGAAAUCCUCUGGCUUAACUGGGGGCUUGCGGUGGGUACGGGCCGGCUUGAGUGCGGUAGGGGAGACUGGAAUUCCCGGUGUAACGGUGGAAUGUGUAGAUAUCGGGAAGAACACUAAUGGCGAAGGCAGGUCUCUGGCCGUUACUGACGCUGAGGAGCGAAAGCGUGGGGAGCGAAACA